AGAAUUUCUUCUAACAUUUUGUGUAAAUGUUGCUAUUAGCAAUAACAACCGAAGAUGCUCUAACUAAAUUCAUAACACUUGUUAAAGUAGGUGUUAGAUGCUCUAUGAGUAGUUCUUGGAUGACAUAGCUGUACUUGUAGGGUCAUGGCUUGAAGCAGUGCAGCACUUUGUUGAAGUUUGAGUUGAUGGUUUGCACUUGCACCUCCUGUCAGUAGUGUUUGAAUAUGCAUGAUCAAGGAAUAGUUUACUUGUUAAAAAAUGAAUUUGCAUGAUCAAGGAAUUGUUUACUUUUAAAAAAUGAAUUUGCCUUUAUUUAGUUAUUAUUAACUGAAUUCACUUUCCAACCAUUUGCUCCCCUUUUUUCCCCUUAGUCACAUGUCUUUUUCUUCACAUUGAAUUGGCAUGCACUAGUAAAUUAU
rnacentral:misc_RNA from 1 species